UCAGACUGAAAAUGACCUCAGGUUCUAACAGUGUUCUGAGGUCAGAAAACUGGGCCAACAGAACUCUGGUACAUUAAGCUUAUCACCUGCUCUGUCUGCCAGCAGCCUGAUAAAACCCAUGUACCAACAAUC